GCCUAGGAAUCUGCCUGGUAGUGGGGGACAACGUUUCGAAAGGAACGCUAAUACCGCAUACGUCCUACGGGAGAAAGCAGGGGACCUUCGGGCCUUGCGCUAUCAGAUGAGCCUAGGUCGGAUUAGCUAGUUGGUGGGGUAAUGGCUCACCAAGGCGACGAUCCGUAACUGGUCUGAGAGGAUGAUCAGUCACACUGGAACUGAGACACGGUCCAGACUCCUACGGGAGGCAGCAGUGGGGAAUAUUGGACAAUGGGCGAAAGCCUGAUCCAGCCAUGCCGCGUGUGUGAAGAAGGUCUUCGGAUUGUAAAGCACUUUAAGUUGGGAGGAAGGGCAGUAAGUUAAUACCUUGCUGUUUUGACGUUACCGACAGAAUAAGCACCGGCUAACUCUGUGCCAGCAGCCGCGGUAAUACAGAGGGUGCAAGCGUUAAUCGGAAUUACUGGGCGUAAAGCGCGCGUAGGUGGUUCGUUAAGUUGGAUGUGAAAGCCCCGGGCUCAACCUGGGAACUGCAUCCAAAACUGGCGAGCUAGAGUACGG
rnacentral:rRNA from 1 species